GACGAACGCUGGCGGCGUGCUUAACACAUGCAAGUCGAACGGAAAGGCCCUGCUUUUGUGGGGUGCUCGAGUGGCGAACGGGUGAGUAACACGUGAGUAACCUGCCCUUGACUUUGGGAUAACUUCAGGAAACUGGGGCUAAUACCGGAUAGGAGCUCCUGCUGCAUGGUGGGGGUUGGAAAGUUUCGGCGGUUGGGGAUGGACUCGCGGCUUAUCAGCUUGUUGGUGGGGUAGUGGCUUACCAAGGCUUUGACGGGUAGCCGGCCUGAGAGGGUGACCGGCCACAUUGGGACUGAGAUACGGCCCAGACUCCUACGGGAGGCAGCAGUGGGGAAUAUUGCACAAUGGGCGGAAGCCUGAUGCAGCAACGCCGCGUGCGGGAUGACGGCCUUCGGGUUGGAAACCGCUUUCGCCUGUGACGAAGCGUUAGUGACGGUAAUGGGUAAAGAAGCACCGGCUAACUACGUG
rnacentral:rRNA from 1 species